AACGAACGCUGGCGGCAGGCUUAACACAUGCAAGUCGAGCGCCCCGCAAGGGGAGCGGCCGACGGGUGAGUAACGCGUGGGAAUCUACCCAUCUCUACGGAAUAACGCAUGGAAACGUGUGCUAUUAACCCAUACGUCCUUCGGGUGAAAGAUUUAUCGGAGAUGGAUGAGCCCGCGGUGGAUUAGCUAGUUGGUGGGGUAAAGGCCUACCAAGGCGACGAUCCAUCGCUGGUCUGAGAGGAUGAUCAGCCACACUGGGACUGAGACACGGCCCAGACUCCUACGGGAGGCAGCAGUGGGGAAUAUUGGACAAUGGGCGCAAGCCUGAUCCAGCCAUGCCGCGUGAGUGAUGAAGGCCCUAGGGUUGUAAAGCUCUUUCACCGGUGAAGAUAAUGACGGUAACCGGAGAAGAAGCCCCGGCUAACUUCGUGCCAGCCGUCGCCGUAAUAC
rnacentral:rRNA from 1 species